ACGCACCCCCAACGGUAUCCAGUCCGGAAGCUAGUACAGGUGCUGCAUGGCUGUCGUCAGCUCGUGUCGUGAGAUGUCGGGUUAAGUCCCAUAACGAGCGAAACCCUUGCCUCCAGUUGCCAGCGGGUCAUGCCGGGGACUCUGGAGGGACUGCCGGUGUUAAACCGGAGGAAGGUGGGGAUGACGUAUGCGUAACAGAA
rnacentral:misc_RNA from 1 species